CUAUGACCACCAGUCCAAGAACUUCGCCUCCUACACGAAGGGAGAUGAACGGCUGCGAGACUAAAUGCCAUGAACAUACGCGGCCAUGAACGUAUUCGCCGGAACUCACAUGAAGCCGUGUCAAAACCUAGGCGCGGCGGAACUCGCGACCGGAUAAAUUAGCAAGCUAAAUACAUACCGGUGUUUGAAGUGGUGGUUCGUCGGACUUUGACGUUGCAUUCACCGGUAACACGUUCCCCUUUACCUUUCUUGAUUCAAUCCUUCUUCUACGGCAAUCCUCUACUGAUGUCUUGCACACGACUAAGAGCUGCAGAAUUGGAAGCCGGAAGAACGAAGCGACUCGGAUUCGGGUUGCAGAACAGACGUCCCCGAUCGCAGAGAGAAGAUCCAGGUUGAAAAGGAGAUGUAGCCGAAGAACCGACCGUGAGACGUGAUGGCGUUGUUGCGUCGCCGACGAGGGGUCCUGGAAAAUGCCCUGGUUGUAGAGCAUGGCAGAAAGAAGAUGAAGGUAAGGUUUGUGUGAGUUUUUGAUUGAAGGUUGUGGUGAAUUCAACUCCGAGAGGAUGGUUGAAGCUUGAAGAAAAUGGAGUUUCAAGGUGGAUUGAGGAAGAAGACCCAAAGUGAAUUCUAACGGAAGACUUCAGAGUGAAUUUUUGGAAGCCGACUCAAAGUGAAUUGAGGGGUGCUUUUAAGUCACAAAUAACCCACCAGCUAUGGAUUCUCAUUAUUAUGGAUUACCAAGUAAUGGAUUGCUCAUUCGGAUCGGGUAUGCUAAUGAAAUCUCAAUUGGUUGGAGAUUGCUUGGAUAUAAAUUGGGAAUGGUUUGGUGGUGGAGAUGAACGAGUAUAACUUGGAAGUAAGCUUCCUGUGCAGGAAGUUUUAAGAGAUUGAAUUGGAAGAAAGAAAAUUGUAUUAUUACUUGGCAUUAUAUUGAAUGCCUCAAUUAAUUGUCAAUUUUGUAUUAGAUUUAAGUUGAAUAACUUGGAAGUAAGCUUCCUGUACAGGAAGUUUUAAGAGAUUGAAUUGGAAGAAAGAAAAUUGUAUUAUUACUUGGCAUUAUAUUGAAUGCCUCAAUUAAUUGUCAAUUUUGUAUUAGAUUUAAGUUGAAUGAGAAUAAAUUAUUAUUAUGGAAAAUUUCUAUGUUAGCUAA